GGCCGCUUAGCUCAGUUGGUAGAGCGCCUCGUUUACAUCGAGGAUGUCGUAGGUCCGAGUCCUACAGCGGCCA
rnacentral:tRNA from 1 species